AUACGUAGGGUGCAAGCGUUAAUCGGAAUUACUGGGCGUAAAGCGUGCGCAGGCGGUUUUGUAAGACAGAGGUGAAAUCCCCGGGCUCAACCUGGGAACUGCCUUUGUGACUGCAAGGCUAGAGUACGGCAGAGGGGGAUGGAAUUUCGCGUGUAGCAGUGAAAUGCCUAGACAUGCGGAGUAACACCGAUGGCGAAGGCAAUCCCCUGGUCCACUACUGACUCUCAUGCACGAAAGCGUGGGAAGCAAACAGAAUUUGAUACCCUGGUAGUCGACGCCCUAAACGAUUUUAACUGGUUGUUGGGUCGUCAUUGAAUCAGUCACUAAGCCAACGCGUGAAGUUGACCGCCUGGGGAGUACGGUCGCAAGGUUGAAACUCAAAGUAAUUCACGAGG
rnacentral:rRNA from 1 species